GGGGGCGAUCGGCUUCGACGUGGGGACUGAAGGAAGAUUUGCGUGCGGUGGCACCCGCCCCACCUACUAAGCGGGCCGUCUAAUUGCGAACGACAACGCAAUCGCUCUCGCGGCCUAAAAAACCGUGAAGCCGUCCAACCGUGAGAUCGUCUUGGUAACGGAAGGGCGUCAUUACUAAGGCUGGCCGGCACGUUGCGCCACUGGGCGUGCCGGUAAGAAACUCAGGGGCUAGGUCGUGGCCGAAUCCACGGACCGAGCCGGAGCGGAUACGCCGGCUACGCACGUGAACGAAAGUUUUCUGGAUGCCUUGCGGACCCGGGUUCAAUUCCCGGCGCCUCCACCA
rnacentral:tmRNA from 1 species